GCCCGGGUGGCGUAACUGGUAGGCGCACGGGGCUUAAACCCCCGGGCCGUUCGCGGCGUGCGGGUUCGAUCCCCGUCCCGGGUA
rfam:Kineococcus radiotolerans SRS30216, complete genome.